rnacentral:rRNA from 1 species
GAUUAACGCUGGCGGCGUGCAUAACACAUGCAAGUCGAACGAUGAAACCCAACUGAAUUCUUCGGAAUGAUUUUGGGUGGAUUAGUGGCGGACGGGUGAGUAACGCGUGAGUAACCUGCCUUAGAGAAGGGGAUAGCCUUUGGAAACGAAGAAUAAUACCCUAUGACACCAACACCUCGCAUGAAGAGUUGGUCAAAGAUUUAUCGCUCUAAGAUGGACUUGCGUCUGAUUAGUUAGUUGGUGAGGUAACGGCUCACCAAGACAGCGAUCAGUAGCCGGCUUGAGAGAGUGUACGGCCACAUUGGGACUGAGACACGGCCCAGACUCCUACGGGAGGCAGCAGUGGGGAAUUUUGCACAAUGGGGGAAACCCUGAUGCAGCGACGCCGCGUGAUUUAGAAGGCCUUCGGGUUGUAAAAAUCUUUUCUAUGGGAAGAAAAUGACAGUACCAUAGGAAUAAGGACCGGCUAAUUACGUGCCAGCAGCCGCGGUAAUACGUAAGGUCCGAGCGUUAUCCGGAUUUAUUGGGUUUAAAGGGUGCGUAGGUUGUUCGGUAAGUCAGCGGUGAAACCUGAGCGCUCAACGUUCAGCCUGCCGUUGAAACUGCCGGGCUUGAGUUCAGUGGCGGCAGGCGGAAUUCGUGGUGUAGCGGUGAAAUGCAUAGAUAUCACGAGGAACUCCGAUUGCGAAGGCAGCUUGCCAUACUGCGACUGACACUGAAGCACGAAGGCGUGGGUAUCAAACAGG